rnacentral:rRNA from 1 species
AUACGUAGGUGGCAAGCGUUAUCCGGAAUCAUUGGGCGUAAAGGGUGCGUAGGCGGCUUCUUAAGUUUGUAGUGAAAUCGUAGGGCUCAACUCUAUCUAGCUACAAAAACUGGGAGGCUGGAGUGCGGUAGAGGCUAGUGGAAUUCCUAGUGUAGCGGUAAAAUGCGUAGAUAUUAGGAGGAACACCGGUGGCGAAGGCGACUAGCUGGGCCGUAACUGACGCUGAGGCACGAAAGCGUGGGGAGCAAAUAGGAUUAGAUACCCUAGUAGACCACGCCGUAAACGAUGAAUACUAAGUGUUGGAGAAAUUCAGUGCUGCAGUUAACGCAAUAAGUAUUCCGCCUGGGGAGUAUGCACGCAAGUGUGAAACUCAAAGGAAUUGGCGGGG